ensembl:misc_RNA Metazoa_SRP Metazoan signal recognition particle RNA
GCUGGGUGUGGUGGCUCACAUCUGUAAUCCCAGCACUUUGGGAGGCUGAGGUGGGAGGAUCACUUGAGCUCGGGAGUUCGAUAUCAGCCUGGGCAACAAAGUGAGACCCCAUCUUUA